rnacentral:rRNA from 1 species
AACGAACGCUGGCGGCAGGCUUAACACAUGCAAGUCGAACGAGCUGGGGGCUUCGGUCCCCGAUGCUAGUGGCGCACGGGUGAGUAACACGUGGGAAUAUGCCCUUUAGUACGGAAUAACCAAGGGAAACGUUGGCUAAUACCGUAUACGCCCUUCGGGGGAAAGAUUUAUCGCUAUAGGAUUAGCCCGCGUCGGUUUACGUAGUUGGUGAGGUAAUGGGUCACCAAGGCGACGUUCAGUAGCUGGUCUGCGAGGAUGAUCAGCCACACUGGGACUGGGACGCGGCCCGGACUCCUACGCGAUGGGGCAGUGGGUAAUAUUGGCCAAUGGCGGCAACCCUGAUCCAGCCAUGACGGGUGAGUGAAGAAGGCCUUCGGGUUGUAAAGCUCUUUCGACGGGGACGGUGAUGACGUUACCCGCAGAAGAAGCCCCGGCAAACUUCGUG